rnacentral:rRNA from 1 species
AAGUCGAGCGGAAACGAAGAUAGCUUGCUAUCAGGCGUCGAGCGGCGGACGGGUGAGUAACGCGUAGGAACCUACCUAAUAGUUUGGGGUAGCCCAGAGAAAUUUGGAUUAAUACCGGAUACGCCCUACGGGGGAAAGCAGGGGAUCUUCGGACCUUGCGCUAUUAGAUGGGCCUGCGUGAGAUUAGCUAGUUGGUGAGGUAAUGGCUCACCAAGGCGACGAUCUCUAGCUGGUUUGAGAGGAUGAUCAGCCACACUGGGACUGAGACACGGCCCAGACUCCUACGGGAGGCAGCAGUGGGGAAUAUUGCACAAUGGGGGAAACCCUGAUGCAGCCAUGCCGCGUGUGUGAAGAAGGCCCUAGGGUUGUAAAGCACUUUCAGUAGGGAGGAAAGGGUGUUGAUUAAUACUCAACAUCUGUGACGUUACCUACAGAAGAAGCACCGGCUAACUUCGUGCCAGCAGCCGCGGUAAUACGAGGGGUGCAAGCGUUAAUCGGAAUUACUGGGCGUAAAGCGUGCGUAGGCGGUUUGUUAAGCAAGAUGUGAAAGCCCAGGGCUCAACCUUGGAACUGCAUUUUGAACUGGCAAACUAGAGUACUGUAGAGGGUGGUGGAAUUUCCAGUGUAGCGGUGAAAUGCGUAGAGAUUGGAAGGAACAUCAGUGGCGAAGGCGGCCACCUGGACAGAUACUGACGCUGA